rnacentral:RNase_P_RNA from 1 species
GGGCACGGUGGUCGCUAACGGCGACCGGACGCGAGUCCAGGGAAAGUGCCACAGAGAACAGACCGCCGAUGGCCGUCCUCGCCUGGCGAGGGCGGAUCAGGCAAGGGUGAAACGGUGCGGUAAGAGCGCACCGCUCGCGUGGCGACACGCGGGGCACGGCAAACCCCACCGGGAGCAAGGCCAAAUAGGGGACUCUUGGCGCCGCCCACGCAAGAUGAGUCCCGGGUUGGCCGCUCGAGUCGCCCGGCAACGGGCGUACUUAGAUAAAUGGCCGCAGUCCCGAUUCGUCGGGAUCACAAGAUUCGGCUUACGGCCCGCUCGCCGG